rnacentral:tRNA from 1 species
GGGGGGAUGACCGAGCGGCCGAAGGUGACGGUCUUGAAAACCGUUAGGGGCGCGAGUCCCUCAAGGGUUCGAAUCCCUUUCCCCCCG